GUAACAGGAAGAAGCUUGCUUCUUUGCUGACGAGUGGCGGACGGGUGAGUAAUGUCUGGGAAACUGCCUGAUGGAGGGGGAUAACUACUGGAAACGGUAGCUAAUACCGCAUAACGUCGCAAGACCAAAAAGGGGGACCUUCGGGCCUCUUGCCAUCGGAUGUGCCCAGAUGGGAUUAGCUAGUAGGUGGGGUAACGGCUCACCUAGGCGACGAUCCCUAGCUGGUCUGAGAGGAUGACCAGCCACACUGGAACUGAGACACGGUCCAGACUCCUACGGGAGGCAGCAGUGGGGAAUAUUGCACAAUGGGCGCAAGCCUGAUGCAGCCAUGCCGCGUGUAUGAAGAAGGCCUUCGGGUUGUAAAGUACUUUCAGCGGGGAGGAAGGGAGUAAAGUUAAUACCUUUGCUCAUUGACGUUACCCGCAGAAGAAGCACCGGCUAACUCCGUGCCAGCAGCCGCGGUAAUACGGAGGGUGCAAGCGUUAAUCGGAAUUACUGGGCGUAAAGCGCACGCAGGCGGUUUGUUAAGUCAGAUGUGAAAUCCCCGGGCUCAACCUGGGAACUGCAUCUGAUACUGGCAAGCUUGAGUCUCGUAGAGGGGGGUAGAAUUCCAGGUGUAGCGGUGAAAUGCGUAGAGAUCUGGAGGAAUACCGGUGGCGA
rnacentral:rRNA from 1 species